UGGCACAAGGAGACAAGGAGAGCUCCAUUCACUGUUACUCGGCUCAAUAAUAUCAUUGUCAAGCAUAUAUUUAAUUUCUUUUCUCAUAACUUCAAGUUUGAGUGGAUUGAGCCUGUAAGGAUGUUGCUUAAUUGGAGAAGCAUCUCCUACAUCAACAUCAUGACAAACAGCAGUGGUUUUGUUUGGCACAUCUGGAAAAAGAUUUUUAAAAGAAAAUACCAAAGUUUUUAUUUCUUCUCUACGAUCAAAAGACAGAUGUGCAAGUUUUGAAUCUAAAUUUGACAAAAUUUCUGAAUUUUUCAAUCUAACUGUCUCUUCCAUAGUUUUACAACUAAAAAUUGGUUCAAUUACAUCUGGUUUGUCAUGAUUGUUCUCAAAUUUAACCAUGCCUAAAGUGGCAACUGGUUUACUAUCACAUAGAACAUUAGUACGCUCAAAAUAUGGUUUUAACAUAUUAAUAUGACACACUCUAUUUUGUUUGCGCCGACCUGGAGUUUUUACAAUAUAAUUCAAAUCAUUAAUUUUACUCUCUAUUGUAUAAGGACCACAAUAUUUAGCCUGUAAAGGAUGUCCAGGGACAGGCAGAAAUACAAGUACGCUAUCACCAGGCUCAAAAACUCUGUCCCUGGCAUCUUUAUCAUACCAUAUUUUCAUCUUGUUCUGUACAUUUUUUAAGUUUUUCUGAGCAAUUUGACAAGC
rnacentral:lncRNA from 1 species